CAAAGGAAUUGACGGGGAGCACUACAACGGGUGGAGCCUGCGGUUUAAUUGGACUCAACGCCGGAAAACUCACCGGGGCGACAGCAAUAUGUAGGUCAAGCUAAAGACUUUACCAGAAUCGCUGAGAGGAGGUGCAUGGCCGUCGUCAGUUCGUACUGUGAAGCAUCCUGUUAAGUCAGGCAACGAGCGAGACCCGUGCCCACUGUUGCCAGCAUGUCCUUCGGGAUGAUGGGUACUCUGUGGGGACCGCCGAUGCUAAAUCGGAGGAAGGUGCGGGCUACGGUAGGUCAGUAUGCCCCGAAUCUCCCGGGCUACACGCGGGCUACAAUGACUGGGACAAUGGGCUCCUACCCCGAAAGGGGAUGGUAAUCUCAUAAACCCAGCCUUAGUUCGGAUCGAGGGCUGUAACCCGCCCUCGUGAAGCUGGAAUCCGUAGUAAUCGCGUUUCAACAUAGCGCGGUGAAUACGUCCCUGCUCCUU
rnacentral:rRNA from 1 species